rnacentral:rRNA from 1 species
UACGAAGGGGGCUAGCGUUGCUCGGAAUCACUGGGCGUAAAGCGCACGUAGGCGGCUUUCUAAGUCAGGGGUGAAAUCCUGGAGCUCAACUCCAGAACUGCCUUUGAUACUGGGAAGCUCGAGUCCGGGAGAGGUGAGUGGAACUGCGAGUGUAGAGGUGAAAUUCGUAGAUAUUCGCAAGAACACCAGUGGCGAAGGCGGCUCACUGGCCCGGUACUGACGCUGAGGUGCGAAAGCGUGGGGAGCAAGCAGG